AGCUGAGUAUCUUGUACUGAAUACAUAGGUGCAAGAGGCGAACCAGGGGAACUGAAACAUCUAAGUACCCUGAGGAAAAGAAAUCAACCGAGAUUCCCUUAGUAGUGGCGAGCGAACGGGGACCAGCCCUUAAGUUGAUUUGAGAUUAGUGGAACGCUCUGGAAAGUGCGGCCAUAGUGGGUGAUAGCCCCGUACACGAAAAUCUCUUGUCAAUGAAAUCGAGUAGGACGGAGCACGAGAAACUUUGUCUGAAUAUGGGGGGACCAUCCUCCAAGGCUAAAUACUACUGACUGACCGAUAGUGAACCAGUACCGUGAGGGAAAGGCGAAAAGAACCCCGGAGAGGGGAGUGAAAUAGAACCUGAAACCGUAUGCGUACAAGCAGUGGGAGCCUACUUUGUUAGGUGACUGCGUACCUUUUGUAUAAUGGGUCAGCGACUUAUAUUCAGUGGCGAGCUUAACCGAAUAGGGGAGGCGUAGCGAAAGCGAGUCUUAAUAGGGCGUUUAGUCGCUGGGUAUAGACCCGAAACCGGGCGAUCUAUCCAUGGGCAGGUUGAAGGUUAGGUAACACUGACUGGAGGACCGAACCGACUACCGUUGAAAAGUUAGCGGAUGACCUGUGGAUCGGAGUGAAAGGCUAAUCAAGCUCGGAGAUAGCUGGUUCUCCUCGAAAGCUAUUUAGGUAGCGCCUCAUGUAUCACUGUAGGGGGUAGAGCACUGUUUCGGCUAGGGGGUCAUCCCGACUUACCAAACCGAUGCAAACUCCGAAUACCUACAAGUGCCGAGCAUGGGAGACACACGGCGGGUGCUAACGUCCGUCGUGAAAAGGGAAACAACCCAGACCGUCAGCUAAGGUCCCAAAGUCAUGGUUAAGUGGGAAACGAUGUGGGAAGGCUUAGACAGCUAGGAGGUUGGCUUAGAAGCAGCCACCCUUUAAAGAAAGCGUAAUAGCUCACUAGUCGAGUCGGCCUGCGCGGAAGAUGUAACGGGGCUCAAACCAUGCACCGAAGCUACGGGUAUCA
rnacentral:rRNA from 3 species